GAACUGAAACAUCUAAGUACCCCGAGGAAAAGAACUCAACCGAGAUUCCCCCAGUAGCGGCGAGCGAACGGGGAGCAGCCCAGAGCCUGAAUCAGUGUGUGUGUUAGUGGAAGCGUCUGGAAAGGCGUGCGAUACAGGGUGACAGCCCCGUACACAAAAAUGCACAUAUUGUGAGCUCGAUGAGUAGGGCGGGACACGUGGUAUCCUGUCUGAAUAUGGGGGGACCAUCCUCCAAGGCUAAAUACUCCUGACUGA
rnacentral:rRNA from 1 species